AUGCUACCUACUCUAGAAGCACAUAUACUAAAACUGGAAUACAGAGAAGAUUAGCAUGGUCCAUGCACAAGGAAGACACACAAAUUCAAAAAACAAAAAGGUGGGCU
ensembl:snRNA U6 U6 spliceosomal RNA